ACACACACACACACACACACACACACACACACACACACACACACACACACACACACACACACACACACACACACACACACACACGCACAUGCACACGCACACGCACACGCACACACACACACACACACACACACACACAUACACACACACACACACACACACGCACACACACAUACAUUCAGCCAUAUUUCUUUGUAAUGAGUCAUAAAACCAGACAUGUCUUGUGCAAUAAACAUGCUCUUCUUCUUCUGUGUGCAUUCAUAAUAGUAUUUUCUCCAUGUUUUACUGCUGUAGAAAACAAAAUACAUAAAAAUACAGCGACUGAUUAACAGAGAGUCAAGCUUUCAAGCCUGACAAAAACACUGGAACAGCUCUCAUUUCCAUUAUCACAACUGUGUGCAUAAUUUGCAAAACAUUAGUGUAGGCUGUAAAACUAUCUCUUGGAGCAAAUGAACUUUAAAGAGUUCAUAGAGGUUAAAACACAAGUAAAGCAUGAUAUCUUCACAAAGGGAAUCUGGAUGAGAACCGGUGCCAAUAAACUAGUGGAAAAACGGUCUGGAGGAAGAAAGCUGCUUGUGAAUUGUCUGUAUCUCAGAGUUGCACGAUCUGCCAUUCCCAUAUUGGUUACAGUCAUGGAUCACCAACAUUUCUCUGGCAAAAUACCAGCUUUGUAACUUUCUAAUCACAUUGCUGUUAUCAAAAGGCUGCAAUGCUUAUGCUUCAACCAGAAAUAGCUGGGAUCCCAAUUCUCUGCUGUUGUUCUGUGAGUCAGGAGCUGGAUAGUGUGGGAACCAUUGUUCUAGAUGUGUAAUGAUUUAGUGUCAUAGGCAGGGCCCAUGGGUGCAAGCAAGAACAGCAGCUGCAGCCAGACAAGUAAAAUCCAUAGACUUUAAUGGGGAGGAACCGAAAAUGAUAGAGAAAAAGAGAUGGUAUGACAGGAACAGAUUAAACAAAUUUGCAACAGGAGAAUCUGGCAAAGAACAGAGAACAAACAUCUGGCAACUUAAGAGCCAGAAAUCCUCACAGAGGCUUGUUUCCUAAAUGUAGACUAGGUGGGAUAAUUACCAAAUGCAAUAAAGGUGAUGAGCUGAGAAACCAAAGGGAACUGCAGGAAACAAUGAAUGGGAAACAAGAAGCCAGACAAUACAAAUUAAAGUGAAAAUAACACUACAAAAACCUAUGACUUCUAAUAAGUAUUUUAGGAGUUAAUAUUGUACUAUGAAGUUCAGUUAUUUGCCAGCUAAUUGGAUUUACACCUUUCUUCAGACUGACCACAACCAUGGACUAGGUCUCAGAAAGCUAACAGUGGCAUGGAGUUAUGAAGAUAUGACAAUCUUAGGACAAUGAAAUGUUGGGGCUCUAAGCCUGAAACUAAUAUAAUCAUUACACAGUGUUUGUGUCACGCUGAGCCAGGAGGAGGUUAGGACCCAAGAUGCAGAAACCCAGAACGACACAAGGCAGGAGCAAAAUCAAAGUAAAAUCCUUUAUUUAGGAAGAGAGUCCAAAAUUCAAAAAUCCAAAAAGGGCAGGAAGCCAAGCCUAAAGUCAGUAACCAGACUGACAAAGACAAAAAGCUCUUUGAUGAGCAAAACCUAGAGUUUCAUGAGGAGGAAAAGAACAACACUGACAACGACAAUGGACCGACAAACACUGAGGCACAGACAGGGUUAUAUACACAGGUCUGGUUGAUAGGAGACGAGGAGCAGGUGCGUGGGGAAUUGGGCACAGGUGAAACUCAUGAACUGAGGGAAGAAGCAGAAAUAAGUAAAAGUAAGUAAGUAAGUAAAAGUUUAUUUUUAGAGCACCUUUCACAGAUAUAAAUCACAAAGCGCUGUACAACAUGAUAAAGAUCAGGGCAAAUACCUCUAACCAAUAAAAACAUCAGAAAAACAAUAGCAGUGAUAAAAUAGUAAAUAAAAUCAUGAGUAUAAACAAAGUGAAGGUGUGAACCCAAACAAAGCCAUCUUUUUGAACAUUUAGGGAGGGAACGCCUGGAUGAAAAGGUGAGUUUUUAGAUGAUUUUUAAAGACCUCUACAGUGUUAGAGAGACAGAUAUUUGAAGGUAGACUGUUCCAAAGUCUGGGUGCAAUAGUCUGAAAGGCCCUGUCCCCUUUGGUUUUCAGUCUGGUUCAAGGAACAGCCAGGAGGUUUUCAGAUGUGGAUCUAAGGUUCCGUGAGGUGGUGUGUGGGGAUAAAAGCUCAGAUAGGUAGCUUGGAGCCUGGUUGUUAAGAGCUCUAUAGGUCAGGACUAAAACUUUAAACUGUAUUCUAUUAUCUACCGGGAGCCAGUGGAGGGACUGUAAAACUGGAGUGAUGUGAGCUCGUCUGCUGUAUUUGGUUAGGAGGCUGACUGCUGCAUUUUGGAUGGCUUGAAGGCGUGAGAGGGAGGUUUUGCUGAGACCAGUAAAAAGAGCGUUACAGUAGUCUAAGCGUGAAGACACAAAGACAUGGAUGAUUUUUUUCCAGAUCUGCAGUAGAAACCAGUUUACGGACUUUUGAAACGUUUCUCAGUUGAAAGAAACAAGAGCGGGAGAUGGUUUUGACGUGUGAGUCUAAACUUAAAGCUGGAUCAAAAAUAACUCCAAGGUUUCUAAUGCUGGCCUUGGCUGAUGGGCAAUAAGAGGCAAUUUCUUGCUCAAUUUUUGGCUGAAGUUCCGGGGGUGCAGCGAUCAGGGUCUCUGUCUUGUUAGCAUUGAGGACAAGAAAGUUGCUGGACAGCCAGUUACUGAUCUGGGUCAGGCAGAGUACAAGUGUGGCCAGCCUGUCCAACUGGUGUGGCAUAAAGGACAUACAGAGCUGAAUAUCGUCAGCGUAGAUGUGGUAGGAGAUGUCUAGGAAAGACUGAAUGAUGCCAGCUAGGGGAAGAAUAUAGAAUGCGAAUAGUAGAGGCCCUAGAACUGAACCUUGUGGGACCCCGCAUGUUAGAGAGGCAGUAUCUGAAGAGAAGGUUUCGGACUUCACUGUGAAUGUUCUGUUGGUGAGAUAAGAAGAGAGCCAGUCUAGAGCAGAACCUGAAAUCCCGGCCAGAGCCUUUAACCUGUUUAGUAGAACGUUGUGGUCUACAGUGUCAAAAGCUGCACUGAGGUCAAGCAGGACCAUGACAGAGCAUUUCCCUGCAUCAGCAGCCAUUAGGAGGUCUUUAUGCACCCUUACUAUAGCAGUCUCAGUUGAGUGCUGCUUCAGAAUGCCAGAUUGGAAGGGGUCAGAGAUCUUUGACUUAGGAAACCAGGAUCUGAGUUGGGUUUCAACAACCUUCUCAAGUACUUUACUGAUGAAAGGUAGUUUAGAAAUGGGCCUAAAGUUACUGGUGGAGCUGGCGUCAAGGUUUGAUUUCUUUAAGAGAGGAGUCACUACUGCAUUUUUAAAGUAAGAUGGAACACAGCCUUGGCUCAGUGAGCUGUUGAUUAUAGUCAACAGAGAUGGACUGAUAGAGGCAAGGGACCCGACUAAAACAGAGGGAGUUAAAGAGCAAGUAACGUCUAAAUUAACUUUUUUUUUGCUGAUGAACUGUAUAAAUGAGUGUCUAAUAGUGUUUUAAAUGUGUGCAUUCUUUAUUUUAGCAUUUUGCUGCAUUUUCUUUAAAAAUAAAAAAUUCUGUCUAAAAACCACAGUAAUGCGCCACCUUCAGCUGAAAACAUAGAAUUUGAGUCAUUUUGAAUAAAUUUUAGCCAAUGGCUAAAGAGUAAAGUACUACGUAAACCAGUAGAGUACUACGUAGCAGCUCCGUGCCAAAGUUAUAAAAGCAACGAGCGUCUCGGCCACGCCCUGUGGCGAGUGGGAGUUGGAUUUGCAAGCGAGCGUAGGAGGUCAGCGGUAGUUCAGCAUUAGCAUAUAGCAUUAGCAUAUCCUAGUCUUUAGCAUAUCUUUUAGUGUUAUAAAUACUUAUUUAGUGUUAGCUUGGCUGUUGGAUAUUGUAGUUUAGUUAGUGUUUGGCUGUUAGUGUAAUUGGGAAAGUAUUUCGGGUUUAGUGUUCCAUAUCGUCUUAGUAUUGGUGAGUAGGUGUAGUGUAGUAUGCUUGCGGUGACUCUGUGGGCAUUUUACCCGCGAUUCUGCAUGUCUCCGUUUGAAGAGGGAGGCUGCCCACCGUGGCUCUUCCGCGAUUUAGAUGCAGCCCACCGACUCUGCUCCCCCACCACGGCGGGCUCCAGUCUGAGGUGAGUAAGCUAAAUAAACGUUUUAACAUCUUCUAAAGACAAUUCCCUACCUAAAUGCAAAGUCUGAGAGAUGUGGUUCACUUCCUUUAGCUAGUCAGUCGGCAAUUCUGCAACAGUGUCUCUAACUGACGCAGCACUAGUUGACAGACAGCAUUACAGCGUGAAAUCCAGCUUGUGAACAGGUUCUGUGAGGAAUUCUGUUCAGGAGGUCACAUUUCAGGCUCUCCACAUCAUGUGUGACUGACUUUUACGUUAUAACGAUCACACACUAGGAAUGUUAUAAAGCGCCUAUAUAGGAUAUUCUUUUGUAUAUUAUCUGACUUUAUAAACUCCCAACAACAAUGUGCUUCUAUUUUUUUUUCAGGCUAAAUCUACCCAAGACACUGGCUGUCAGACUGAUUUAGCUGCAAGAAUACACUUGUCCAGGCAGACGUGAAGCCUUACCUGUAGCAAAGCCAGCCAGAAUUGAGUUCACAGCCGCAGUGUGUCUGGUGACCCACGGGGACCAUGAUGAAAAUUCAUCUUCCAGAAAGUCCCAGAGCAUCCACACCCCCUGAAAAGACCAAGAUGUGAGGUGUCUGCUGUUGAUUCCAGCUUCCACCUCAGUGACAGUGCAAGCUCAGUGAACUGUUCAAGCCUGGCUGAUCACCUGAUAACUCCUGCCAUCUGGUUAUGACAGCAUGAGGAUGUCCUCACACACCUGUAACCUAUCAGCUCAUCUGGCAGAAUAGAGAGAGAAGAGACAAUACCACAUCUCCUGUUCCUGGAAAGCCUUCAGCCAUCCUUCGAUGACUGAGAACCUCCAUCAGCUCUGUCUCCUGUCUGCCUACAAUUAUUAUAAUACAUAUUGUGUUUGACAAGUUUUUUGUGCUGCCAAAUAUCUCAUUUAGAUUCCAGUUUUGAUAUUUUAAUGGAUAUUUAUAAAUUACAUUGAUUAUCACAUUUUUGUUGCAUGCUUAACUAGCUCUAUUGUGAUGAAUUAAACUAGCACCUCACUGUUAAAAGCUCGUUUUAAUUUCAAGCAUGUUUAAGUAUUUAUGUACAUGAACAAAAACAGGAAAUAUAUAAAUUGAGAUUUAUUUAAUUAAUAUAACAAAUAAGGGGGAAAGAGUCAUUGAAAGGCACAUUCUUCUGGAAGCUCCUGAUCCUGACGACACCAGACCAGCUGCAGACACCAGAGGACCUAGAACUGAGAGAGCAGCUGUUAUUAGUAAAUAAAUAAAGAAAUCAGGGCAGUUUUAGUGGGCUGAACACAUUACAGAAUAAUUUUCUCAUGGAGUAUUUUCAUAACUUUAUAUGCAGCAGACUGUAACUUGAGCCCAGGGCUACCGGAGAGCUGCUAUCCAGGACGUUUCAGUGGAUUUUCCUGCUUUAACAGGUUAGAUUAGCUGUUAAGCAGCUCAGCUAUUUGUUGCUGAUUAAAACCAGGUGUGCUGAAGCAGAUAAACCUCUAAAACAUGCUGAAUACUAGCUUUUUAGGGUCGCGGAGCCAAACACUGCAACUAAUCCAAUGCUAGGGCUAAAUGCUACUUACCGUUCAGAGGUGGUUCUGUUGGGUAGGUUCUGGGAGUUUCAGGCAACUCACAAGCUCAAAACAAUAAGACUCAGGUCCGCUUGUCUCCUCCAAAUAGACUUGGUCCCUUUCUUCUCGAGUGUCUGGGUAAGGAGGUGGAGAAACGUCCUCCACUUCUAAUAACUGCUCAGAGUGACGGGAGCUAGCUUCGUCUAGUUAGCCAUCGUCUUCGUCACUGCCGCGGCUCCGCCCUCUCGGUCCUCCAGGCAACGCCUACUAAUGUUGCAUUUUUUAAAAUUGAUACGUGGGUGGAGAAGGACUCUGAGGCUCAAUUGACCCGCUCUUUAAGAUAUCUGAUGAGCAUGAUGAGAGUUUCAUCUGACUGAUUAUUGAGGUUAAGUCAUUUAGUGUAAUAGGGGAGAAGGAGGUGAAAGACUCGGAGCACUGAGGGGCCUCCUCGCUGACAGGGGGAGCUGGUGGAAUGCUGGAUCUCAGAUUUAACACCUUGUUUGCAAAAAAGUGGAGAAAUCUGUUACAGUCAUCAGCUGAAGAUAGCUGAGCCUGCUGCGGAGGAGAAGAAACGAUGCUGGAGAUGGUAUCAAACAAAACCUUAGGAUUAUUCUUAUUUUGGCAUAUGAGGUUGCUGAAGAAAGAAGACCUGGCAUUUUCUACAGCUUUGUUGUAUGACUCGAGAAGUUCUUUAAAAUAUUCGCGAUGAACAACCAGACCUGUCCUCUUCCACCGUUGUUCCGCUUUUCUAUAGGAGCGUCUAAGUUCAAGAAUCUGGUUGUUCAGCCAGGGUGAACUGGAGGCACUGGAACUGGGGCUGGUUUUGUAAGGAGCGACCUGAUCUAGAAUUUUGAGGCAGUGAUCAUUAAAUGAGUUAGUAAGGAGCUCUACGUCAUCAGAGGAAGGAGGUACAAAGUCAAAGAGGGAGGAGAAAUUUAAAAUGGGAGAACUGUUGAUAAUACGUCUUAGCAGAGUCUGGUAAAAGAGAUUGAGAAUUUAGGUUAAUAUGAAAAGAAACUGACUUAUGAUCACUGAACACAACAUCAUUUUCUGCAGCUUAUCAACAAGAAGUCCGUAGGAAAAGACCAGAUCCAGGGUGUGGCCUGUUCUGUGAGUGGGACCAGACAUGUGUUGAGAGAAGUUAAAAGAGUUCAUCAUGUUUAGGAACUCCCUAGUGGAGCUGUUAGAUAGAUCCUCAGCAUGGAUGUUGAAAUCUCCAACAAUGAUUAUCCUGUCUAGUUUAAUAAUUGAAGAUAGGAGGUCCUGAAAGUCAGACAGGAAGGAUGAAGUAGAUCCAGGUGGGUGAUAGACCAGAAUUCCAUAAACUGGUUGAACUCAACCAAUUUUAAUCAUGAUCAUCUCGAAUGAGCUGUAGGAGUUUGAGGAUAUAAUUUGGCAUGAAAAGUGUUUCAUAAAGAUAACAGCUGUUCCUCCACCACAGCCUGUGGUUUGUGGAGCAGAGAAGAAAGAGCAGUCUUGAGGACAGAAUUCACGGAGAUGAGUGACGUCAUUUUCGCGCUGCCACGACUGAGAAAUCCACAAAAAGUUUAAUAUUUUGGUGCAGAACAGAUCGUUGAGGAUGUGAGACUUGUUGGCGAUGGAGUGCGCAUUAAUUAACAUCAUUCUCGCAGAGGAAUCUGGCGAUGUGUGUGCCGCGGGCUCCAUAAUGGCGGGCGGCUGGCGGGCUAAGCUACAUAGCGACUCCCGGCUACGCCCGCGGAGGUUCUUUGUCUCCCACGCCUUCAGGUAGCGUCCUGCAUCAGGGGCUCCAUUGAGCAGCGAGAUCAGCCCAACUCCAUUAAGUUUGUGUUGGAUCCGUCACAACACAGCUGCAGAGCAGCGAUCGGGCAGAGCUUCGCCUCUCAGGAUCUUUCAAAGCUGAACGAAGAAGCCGGCUCUCUUCCCCAGUUUCCUCUUACAUGGCCUCCUGGGCAGCGGCAAGCCGACAGUUAACAGAGGGCCGAGACCUGGGUUAACGCCAGUUUCCAGAGGCGGUGGGAAAGCGGGUCCGGUGUCGGAGUUCUGGAGGUUGAUCAUCGCGGACCUGAUCGACAACAGUAAGUCUCGAUCAUAUGUUAGCAGGGACUCCGCACCAGAUAAAGAAGAAACAAUAAAAAACACCAAAUAACCAAAAAAGAUCAGGAGCCUAGCAAACGGACAACCACUCAUGGGCGCCAUCUUGCUGAUUUGAUAUUGAAAUAAUUACAAUCAAUAUCUAUAUUGAUUGAAAUAAGCAGGGGAGAAAACCAUAUCUAAAUCUUAAACCAAAGCUACUAAGAUAACCUGAACUUUAAACACUGUAAAACAUUGUUACGGCCACCGCCGUUUUGGAGCCCAGUGGUGUGUUGCACUCCAUUUUCAUGACCAGCAGUUCAGCAGCGCAGCACCUUGGACAGCUCUUCCUUGGGAAGCUGUCUUACUUCAGGACCAUGGACAGCGCCAGAGCAGCAGUCACAGCCAGCUGGGACUUUUCAACUCAUCAGCUGGCCCUUCAAAAGCGGCCAGCUGGAGCUCAUCAGGGGAGACAAAUGUUUGUAGGUUAAAGCAGCAACGUGUGUUCCUUACCCUUGGUGGUUAUCUUGGUCUUGUGGUUUAAACCAAGUUGUUGUGCUUAAUUCUUGUGAAGAAGUAACCUUAGGACUUUUUGUGUUUGGGAUAAUUUGAGUUAGAAGGUAAUUUUGGUUUGGUGAGUCUUUUAGACUACCUUUGGUGAGUUACCAGGUGGGGUUUAGCCCUUUUGGAGUCUCGGUUUCCCUUUUUAAAUAGAAGAGCUAUUUAGGAUUUUUGUUUUUUUGACAACUUUAGUUACUUUAGUGCCUUUUGUUUGGUUUGUCUUUUAGACAAACCUUUGUUAAACUACUUGGUGGGGAUUUUGCCCAUUAUCUUAAGUUCCAGUCCGCUUUAUUUAUUUUAGGAUUUAUAGUGGUUGGUCCUUAGGACAUGUUUGGGUUAAUUAAUAAUUUUUACUCGGUUAAUUUCUGGGUAAGGGUUUUUGGCCCUUUCUUUUGGUUUUUCUUUUCUUUUUAAUGAAACCGUUGUAAAGACAAGGCCACUUUGAGUUUGGUUUUAUUUCGUCAAGCCUUUUUCUCCCCCAUUAGGGUUACUUUGCGUUAUACUCGUCCUUCUUAUGUUUAUUCCCCUCUCCUUCCUAGCAGAGCCCACAGAGGGGUGUAACAAACAUAGACUAAAUUAAUUAACUAAUGAUAAGUGAAGUGACUAAAGGGAAACCUGAAGAAGCUGGGGACCAAAAGGGGGCACAGAAGAUUAGGGGACACAUGAGGGGAACCAGGAGGAGGCUGGGGACCACAGGGACACAGAAUCUGAGGGGACACCUGGAGGGAGAACAGGAGGGGGCUGGGGACCACAGGGACACAGAACAUGCCAUAUGAGUAAUGGGAUCAAGGGUCAAGGUUAAAGUGUUCGCAUCAGAUUUGUAAACAGCUGUCCUGCAGUGCUCAGGGGUCUGUGAUGCAGCUGAUGCGUGACAACAGCGAAAUGUCAGGCAAGGCUGUUUUAUCAGAGGUCAGAUGUUUAAUGAUAUUUCUACACAGUUCCUGGACUCAUCAUCUUACAGUCAGCCCAGAGGCAUAAUUCAGACCAUUUUUGUAAAAUACGUUAGUGUCAGCCCGAAAAUGUAAAAGCACACAGAGACAUGGUUCAACCAUAAAAAUCAAUUCAAGCUGGCCUAAUCAAUAAAAAGCAGGAUGGACAAAGUACAUUUUUUCUAUCUUUGCUCAUUUUUAGUAUCUAUAUACUCUGUCCUACGGCUAUUUCAAACCAUUAGGUUUUAGGCCAGACUGUAGGAUGCAGAAAAAGGCCAUUGAAGCUGGAUUCUAGCCCUCCUGUGUCUUGCAGUGAGUCAUGGUGAUUAUCUACAAUACAUCUAUAGAAGGUUGUUCUCUUGUUGUUUUUCUUUCCCUUGAUCAGCGUCAGGACACCUACACCUCAGACUGAAAUGGCUCUAACUUAUCUAGCUGAGUCAGGUGGAUUAGGGUGUUCACACUGUUUUUAUUCUAAUUUAUUUACUUGUUUUUGUUGUUGUUGUUGUGGACAGUUGGUUAAACACAGAGGAGGAGACACAUCAAAGAAAAUUGUAACAAAAGAGCUGAUUUCAAAUCAAAUCACUUUUAUUGUCACGUCACAUGUGCAGGUACACUGGUACAGUACAUGCGAGUGAAAUUCUUGUGUGCGAGCUUCACAGCAACAGAGUUGUGCAAAAAUACAGUAACGUAAAAACAAGCAAAAUAUAAAAAUGGCUAAUCUAAGUAAUAAUAUGUAUACUAUGUAAGGUAUGUACGUUACUGAAUGUGUGUGCUAGUAUGUUUUCCUACGUGUGUGCGUGUGUGUAUAGUGUGUAUAUACAUGUUUUACAAAUGAAUAAAGUAUACAAUAAAAUAAUAAAAUAAGAUAUAUAAAAUAUACAGAGGUUGGUAUGUGCAAAACAGUGGCAUUAAUGUACAGUAUGGAGUGUGUAAUGUUGGAGUUUCAGUAGUGAGGGUGAGGUGUCUGCGAAGUGUUUAGCAGUCUGAUGGCCUGAUGGAAAAAGCUGUCUCUCAGUCUGCUGGUUCUGGACCGAAUGCUGCAGAACCUCCAUCCUGAUGGAAGUAGUCUGAACAGUUUAUGGCUGGGGUGACUUGAGUCCUUGAUGAUCCUCUCUGCUUUUCUCAGGCACCACUUCCUGUAGAUGUCUUGGAGGGAGGGAAGCUCACCUCCAAUUAUCCUUUCAGCACACCGCACUACUCUCUGGAGAGCUUUGCGGUUGUAAGCGGUGCUGUUGCCAUACCAGGUGGAGAUGCAUCCAGUGAGGAUGCUCUCAAUGGCACAGUGAUAGAAGGUCCUGAGGAUGCGGUGGCUCAUGCCAAAUCUUUUCAGUCUCCUGAGAAAGAAGAGGCGCUCCUGUGCUUUCUUCACUGUAUUGUUCGUGUGCAUUGACCACGGAAGAUCCUCAGCCAGAUGAACACCAAGGAAACGGAAGCUGCUCACCCUCUCCACAGUAUCGCCGUUGAUGGUGAUGGGGGUGUGUAUUCCUCUGCACCUCCGGAAGUCCAUUAUCAACCCCUUUGUCUUUGUGACGUUGAGGCUGAGAUGGUUGUCUUGACACCAGUGGGUCAGGGCGCUGAUCUCCUCCCUGUAGGCCAUCUCAUCAUUGUUGGUGAUGAGACCCACCACUGUGGUGUCGUCCGCAAACUUCACAAUGAUGUUGGAGUUUCUAGUGGCCGUGCAGUCGUAGGUGUAGAGUGAGUACAGGAGAGGGCUCAGCGCACACCACUGUGGUGCACCAGUGUUCAGUGGUUCGAUUCUUGGCCAAAUUAUUUAAAUCUCCAGGACGACAUGACAUUUAAAAUGUAAUUUUGAACAAUUGCAGGAAAAAAAUUUUCCACAUCUGUUGGAAAGUUUGUUUAUGAAGUGUGUUGAAUACCACUAGAGGUUUCAUUCAGUGUGUCAUUCGUUUAAUAAAGGAUUGGAUCACUCAAUUUAUUUGCAGUGGUCUCUAGUAGGAAUAACUGCCUUGUAAGUUCUUCUCAGGGUAAAAAAUAAACAGGUGCAUCAUUUCUUAGAACUAAAAGUUACCCACAUCAUUUCAUGUUUAGCCUGCAUGAAAACUCAGAGUGAGCAAUUAUAAAUCAACACAUUCUCACACCCGAAGUGGCUAAAACUGACGAUGGGUGACCAAGCGUUUGUUUGACACGUUGGGAGCCCCAACGGGUCGGGAGGCGACUCGCUGUGCCAGGGCGUCGCAUUCUGAUGCCUACGGUAAAACAAAGAUUUCACCGAAUUGUGACCUUUACCCCCUUGCUAUUUAACCUUCCGCUCACCCCAAUCCUAACCUUAACCCACUUGCGCAUGCAAAACUUUGUUUCUAGUUGUACCGUCCAUCUCAAACACAGUUAACGAGAAGUUUAGAAUGAGAAACUGGGUUACGGUUAGGAUGGGGGUGAGGGGAACGUUGUUGUUUUCCCCACGUCAUGUCUGGCUGUUAGGUAAUUUCAUUGUCCCAUCCAGGGUUACCUGAGAGAAAGUACAACACGCAGGGGUUAUAUUAAUAAGCCGAUCGAUAAACCAUACCAAUCUUUACCAAUAAACAAUUUAGACUUGCAAAGUGGAGAGAGAUAAAAUGAUUCACACGAGUCGGUAGGCAAUUCGCUCUCUCAGACAGAACCCUCAGAAAGCAUUUAUUAAGGACACACAAAAUGGUAAAACACACACACAUUUACACACAUUCCUUUAGACUCUCGAAAGGGAGACAACAGGCACAGGCACAGGGCGUUCUUACUGAUAAGCCAGGACUGGAAAGAGGCAAGGACAAACGCCUGUCUGUUUCUAAAGUAAAAUAAACUGUAUGAAGCUUUCGAAAAUAAACCGGAUGAAGCUUUCGUUUAAAAAAUAAUAAAAUUAUGUAUCCAUAAUUUAUCCAACAGCUGUAAAGCAAACAGAAUUGAUGUCUGAAUGCUGGUGACAAGCCUUACAGAUUUACUCUCAGUUGGAGCAUCAAAGCUUCUACUUUAAAGUCACGCCUGAUACUUAAAACUUUAUUGUAAGUGUUAUUAUCAGACACGGAGUCAGAGGUGAAAGAGAAAGAAGUGGACAAAAGUUAGAGUGGGGGGAUUCCACAAAAAUAAAUAAUUCAUGAUGAACAAGACUCUGCUUCUACACCUGCAGAAAGAGGAAAAACUAACAAAAAAGGGACACACAGCAAUACAACAGGAGCAAAAUAUCGCUGCGUUAACCUGAUGAGGAAAUAUAAAAUCAACAUUGUUUUACUGAACAAUGACACGAUAAUAAAUCACAGUGCAUUUAGUGCCAACCACAGCCUUAAGACAUGUUGAAAAUGCUCAAGUCAAUAUUUAUGAGAGCACUAUGUGAGCACCUGUGUGCGUACCCGCAUAUGCAUAUGUAAGGUUUCUCAAUAGGAGCUUCCAAUGAGGAGAGGGGAAGGUUAAAUAGCAAGAGGUUAGAGGUUAAAUGUCGGUGAAAUGUGUGUUUUCCCUCUGCCUAUGGAAAUCGACACUCUGGCACCACGUGGCACCUCCCAACGCAUUGGAAACAAACGCUUGGGCACCCAUUGUCAGUUUUAGCCCCUUCAGGUGUGAGAAGUGUUGGAAAAAUUUAUUUUCAGUGUUUCACACCCAGUGGCGGCUGGUGAAAAAUAUUUUUGGUGGGGCUGUGCUAUAUUUUUUUUAAACAAACUUGUGCUUUCUGAGCUUUGUGCACAACUUCACUAUUUCCUGAAUUAAGCACAGCUCUUUUAUUUCCUGUCUUACAUCAUUGGACAAACUGAUUAAUCCAGGUGUGUCUGACUAUUGGCACGCUGCCUUGCGGACCAAGGUUGAAAAAUACUGCAUUAAAUUGCACAUAAAACAACAUGACCAUAAAUGGUAAAUAGGCAAUGCAAGAGGCAAGUAACAAAACCAUUUUGUUUAAUUUCAACAUUUGAGUAAACACGAAAAAUUAUGAGCAGGUCACUGUUACAGUAAUGGUAGUAAACACUACUUAGACAAAAUGCCAGAAAUUUACACUGUUAGGACUUAUGGAAAGUGGAAACACUUUCAUAGGAAAUAAUGUCAUCAGUAUCCUCUUACAAAUGUCAUAUUUCCCACUUUUUGGGACAAUAAAAUAUUUCUGGUUCUCAAUGAGAUGUUUUUACUUCAAAUGUAAAAACAUCUCAUUGAGAAUCAGAAAUGUUUUAUUGUCCCAAAAGCUGGGAAAUUUGUUUGCUGCAGCAGAAGUGUAACAAGUAAAAUGGAAUCAGAUUGAUGUAUGUACAAAUUUACUUGAAAUACACAUUUACAUGAUUAAAUAUGUAUAAUAGGUAUGUGUGUUGAAAUUAGUUUUUACAGUUAUUGCACAUUAAACAUGUUAUUAAACAAAUGUCCCGGUUUGUGGGACAACCAAGGA